GAUGAACGCUGGCGGUGUGCCUAAUACAUGCAAGUCGAGCGAACAGACGAGGAGCUUACUCCUCUGACGUUAGCGGCGGACGGGUGAGUAACACGUGGAUAACCUACCUAUAAGACUGGGAUAACUUCGGGAAACCGGAGCUAAUACCGGAUAACAUGUUGAACCGCAUGGUUCAACAGUGAAAGACGGUCUUGCUGUCACUUAUAGAUGGAUCCGCGUCGCAUUAGCUAGUUGGUAAGGUAACGGCUUACCAAGGCAACGAUGCGUAGCCGACCUGAGAGGGUGAUCGGCCACACUGGGACUGAGACACGGUCCAGACUCCUACGGGAGGCAGCAGUAGGGAAUCUUCCGCAAUGGGCGAAAGCCUGACGGAGCAACGCCGCGUGAGUGAAGAAGGUCUUCGGAUCGUAAAACUCUGUUAUUAGGGAAGAACAAAUGUGUAAGUAACUAUGCACGUCUUGACGGUACCUAAUCAGAAAGCCACGGCUAACUACGUG
rnacentral:rRNA from 1 species